AGGCAGACGUUCAACUGACUGAGCCACCCAGGCGCCCCAAGGGCUUACAUUCUAACGUACAAGACAGGCAAUUAGUGUGUCUGCAGAUGAAAUGGUGUCAGAUAAUGAGCCACGAAGAGCUACCAUUUCUUGAGCACUUAGUAUAUCCUGUAAACCAGACUGGCUGAGUUCACAUUCUAGCUUAUCAGUUGUGUGACAGUCAGAAGAUUGCCUGCUUCUCUGUGCCUCAGUUUUCUCAUCUGUAGGAUGGGGGCAGUCAUGAUAGCCUACGGUGUGGGUUUCUUGUGAGGAUCAAAUGAGCUGAUCCGUGAACAAUACCUAAAACACUAAGUGCUUGUGUUUGUCGGGUCGCGUUCAACUAAUGUGGUCAUUAUCACCACCGCGUGCUGGGCCUUCUCCAAGCAUUCCAUUGUAUUAGCUCCUGCAGCGCAGACCGGUUCUGAGAAGUAGUCACUGUUCCCGUCCCUCACCCCCGUUUGAGAGAUAAGGAAACAGACUUGAGGGAUGCGCAUCAAGUCACACAGUUGGUCCUGGCCUGUCUUCCCCCAGGGCCUGGGAUGGGUCUGAAGGAGACAAUGCACAGUAAGCACUUGGCGAGCUGCAAAACUAAAUCCUUGAGGGCCCUGGUGUUAUCUGGUCUCCCGGCCCAGAGCAGAUUAGAAAUAGCAAAUUGGUGGGAGGGCGGAGGGAGGAAGGCACAGGGCCUUUAGCAGGGACAGCAGCACAGGGCGAGGUGCUGGCGCAGAGGCAGGCAUGGGAGCCCCAGGUGGCCCCACCUUGAUGAAGAGAGACACACAGAUACUGGCUUCCAUGUUGCUUCUUCCGGAAGGCUCGCCCCAAACCCUAACCACUUUGGGUCCCAGCACUUGGCACAUGUCUGGAGCAUAACUUUUUCAUUCAGUUGAUCCAGACCCUGGACUAAGGGCUCUACGUGAAGAUGACCUUGCAUCGUUGGUGGGCGGGAGAUUCAAGAAGCCAGGGCGGGAGAUAGUGAAUUUUAAACGGAUUGCCAACAUAUACGCAGUUGAAAACAAGGUCAGCUUUAGGUAUGAGUGAUGGAUGGUGUGUGACUCGUCCUCCCUGGCACCCUGCCUUCCACCUUGUAUGUAUAUGGCUUUCCACUUUUCUCUAGGAGCCCUCAAGGGCUCGUGAGCAGAUGGAAAUGUGGCAGCUUGUUUGUUUGUUUGUUUGUCCCAGAGCAGGUCUCUGUGUGUCUUUCCUGGCCACCCGGAAUCAUGAGACUGAUUUCAGGGUCACUGAGACCACCAGAAAGAGAGAUUUCUGACUCUUCUGUCUCCUUUUCUUCUCUCCCUGCCUGGCGGAUUUGGGGACAUCAGUAGGAGGUGCCACCAUGUCCUGGCCACACCCGAAGCCUGCCACGGCUGCUACCACCGACAUCUGGGGAGACUUUACCAAAUCCACAGGGUCGACUUCCAGCCAGACUCAACCAGGCACAGGCUGGGUCCAGUUCUGAUUUGAGUGCAACCCCUCUUUUUCCUCAUACAAUUUCUGGAAAGGAACCACUUCACCUGGGCCAAAGGAAGGAGGACGAAGCACUCCCCAGCCGGCCUCUGUUUGGAGCAUGACUCCUCUCCUCCUCAGCUGACUUUCUUGACAGACUGGCAUGUUAGGCAGUAAAUUGGCACAAUGUCACACUGUUUGCUGGGACCCGAGUGUGCAACCACAACACAGGAGGAGGAGAGCUCCAGCAUCCCCAUCCCUGUCCGUCUCUUGACAUGAGAGACUCUGAGACUGCUGCUUCCAUCACAUGACCCAUAUUAAACACAAGCCCCCAAAGCAAAAGAAGGGGUUGAGCGUGCUACCUGGCCUCAGCUGGGCUCUUCUCUGGUUACAGGUGUCCCGUGAUCACUGUCCAGAAGGAGGGCCUUCUGCACUCCCGUUGGCUGUAGCCACUUCAUUCAAGGUGCCUUCAGAGGGGGGAUUCCUUCCUGAUUUCUGACAGGUUUAUAGGCUGCAGCUCGAACAGCUAAUCAGGAGGGAAAUCAAGAGUAUUAAUCAGCUUUUAAAAAAUCUUUAAUGUUUGCUUUGCUAACGUGCUGAUCUGCACUAACUUGCCUUUGCAAAAGGGACUGCUCCUGCAAGAUGCGCCAGCAGGGGCCUCGGAAAGCAUUCCACCCUGUCCGCCGUAGGAACUGCUCUGAGCUUCAGAAAGCAGUGUUCGUCUUGGCCAAGUGGCCUGGCUGCCGGGUCUUCCGGGCCAGGUGGGCAGUGCCAGGCUGAUGCAGGCGCCGGAAGCGUGUUUGGGCAGGAAAGCCGGAACUGUUCUCAUGGAGGUGGGGGGGUCUGGCCGUCCUGUCCACCGACAGCUCUCUGGGUUCACGGGCUGCCAGCACAGUUCCCAGGGGCCUUGGGUUUUCUUCUUGCUGUGGUUUCUCAAGUGCCUUGUCUGCAGACAGCCUCCUCCUUUCUUUUCUCCUUCAGAGACUGUACAUGACAGAAGGAGUUCUGAGCGAACUGGAAGCCUAGGGUUGCCUGUAUUACUGGUUUAUGAGAAAUAAUUUUACCUGAGCACACCUCGAAAUUUGCUUUUCUCAGCAUACUUUACCUCUUAUUUGAAAGAUCGGUUUUUUGAAGGGUCAAGACAAUGAACUGAAAAAAAAGAAAAAGUGUUGGCCUUUUUGUGGGACCAGAUUCCGAAGAUAAAAAAAUAAAUAUUUUUACUUCUGUCGA